rnacentral:lncRNA from 1 species
CCUGCCAAGGCCUGUGGGCAGAUGCGGGCCUCCCUCCGCUGGGGAAGCAGAGGAGACGCGCGGGCUGCCCGCCAGCGGCACGCUCGCCCCGAGGAAGACGACCCCCGGUCCGGCUCAGCACCAGCCACAGACGUGCUUGCCCGUGCCUGGGCGCCCGGCGCCACGGUUCUCUUUCCAGCCUGUGGCCGGUCUUCUUUCACGCUCCUCUGGACGCUUCAUCUUGUCUGGGAUUCAGAAAUGUUACCUUGGCUAUUUCAGUGAACAUCGUUGAAGCAUCUCAGUCAACAGAAAGAGAGAUGACUAAGACACACCACGUGACGGUGAGGAGUUUACAGCCCCGUGGGAAAAGGUAUGAACCUCUCUGAGCCUCACGUACAGAAGUUAAUCACUGUAGCUACAUCUCUGAGUGGGUUUUUUGUUUGUUUGUUUUUAGGAGGUACUGGUUAUCGAACCUGGGACCUCGUACAUGGGAAGCAGACACCCACCACUUGAGCUACAUCUGCUUCCCUC